rnacentral:lncRNA from 1 species
GUCAUUCACAUGUACACAUCAACAAAAAUAAAACAACAAACACUUGCAUACAGUAACAAAGUAUCACAAUAUAUCAAGAUCUUUGAAUCAAUGCCCUUGAUUCGAUUGUACAAUAAUAUUGUAUUGCUCUCUCCUUUUGUAGAAUGGAGAAAUAAACUCUAAUAGGAUUGAGCAAUAAUCUAUAUAACUACUAACUACUAGUUUGAAUAUUCCAAAAGGAGAAAUGUUACUUGAAUUAAAUGCUUAAGUUUUCACACCCGUAUAUAUACACAGGGUUAUCAUCAAUUAACCAUGGAAAUGGGAGAGAAGUUGGAUAGAUGUAUAUAGAAACAGAGCGUCAAGUGUAAAUCUUCAUUUAUCAGAUUCCAAAAAUACAUAGCACUUCAAAGAACUGUUUAGUGCAGAAGACAAAUUACAAUAUUCCCCAUUUUAUAGUUAGGAAUUUCACAGAAAUAAGUACUAUCUGCAUAUACAAUUAAAGCAAAUAAAUAAGGCACAUUAACUUAUAGAAAUCACCAGUAAUGCUGUCAUUAACAUAUCUAAAUACUUAUACAAGUGGUUACACUUGUGAACAAAAAACAAGACAUUACUGAUUACACUAGCAGUGUACUACUUCUACCUCUGUUAGAAUUUUAGUUCUGGAAGAAAAGGUUAUCAUGAAUACUAACAGUACAUGUAAUAAAAAUAUUAAUACAAGACUAUUUAUACAGUCAGAAAGAACCACAAAUUAUAAUAUAUAAAAAUUUAUUUUUACGUCAAACUUAAUAUAAAUUUCAAACUCAUGAGCUGAAUCCUUUAAAUGAACAUGUUAACUUAACACACAUACACACUAUGUAUUUUUUUUGUGAUUAAUCAAUUAUUAAUAAAAUCAAAAUUUGAAAGUUAAUUCUAACC